UGUAUGCACUUCUGUUUUGAGUUUUGACAUAGCAUCUAGAGAUGAGAUAUUUCUUUCACAAUUUCUCCACCUUACGCUCAAGUUCUCCUCAUGUAAAACAACAAAUUAUAUCCAUCCACCGCAAAUCAGCUGUGUUGCAGUUAUAAUCUCAGUUUCCGGAACAGGAAACAAUAAGGGAGGUAGCAAUUGCAACUGAAGGGAUUAUUUAAUAUCUAUCAAAUUGUAAAUCCAUAGAUCAAACUGUCAGACUUUCAGAUCAGUUGGGGAAAUUGGCUGAGGAGCUCGACUCAACUGUUGGAUAUGUCGUUCACCGCUGUAAGAGCAAUGAUGAGGAAACCGAAUGAUCCUUCCCGGUAUUAGUUCAUCAGAAAGAUCUGCACUCAAGAGUGAAGUAGAAGAUCUGACGAUUGCAACGGAGCUGAUUGUUAGAAAUUCAAACUGGUUGAGGAGUUUCAUCUUCAAUACAUGUAAGUUCUAAUACGCAUUGCAACGAGAAAACAAUAACAGUACCGAAUCAAAUCUCAAGUGUAGCCACUUUCCAAGGCUCCAGUGCCUAACGCUUCAUCGUUUUCCGUACUUUGAUGAGAUUCCAUUUCAUAUUGGAGAGAUUCCAACACUUAGGAACAGAUUGAGAUCGACGAUCAUAACCAAUCUCUUUUGUACUCAUAUAAAAAAUACAAGAGGAACAACGGGGACAAUGGGGAAAAGAAGCCCUAAAAGUUGUUGUGAAGGGUUCUUGAUCCUCUUUCAAACUUGACUGUGCUUCAUAUCAGAUGCAGAGCUUUGAUGAGGUAGCUUAUCAGAUAUUCUACUGAUGAAAGAGGCAGAUAAUUAAAGGUGCAGUGGCUGGUGAUGUUUGUUGAAGUAUGAAUGAUUGAUAAGCUCCUCAUCUACUUUCAAAUGAUUCUGAAUAUUAAAUAUUGUGGUAUCAUGUAUUUCUCAUAGUUAAAUGUCUGUUUGGACUGGCAUUCUUUUUUACAUAAUUACAUUGUUUUACUCUA